rnacentral:rRNA from 2 species
GGGUUGUGAGGUUAAGCGACUAAGCGUACACGGUGGAUGCCCUGGCAGUCAGAGGCGAUGAAGGACGUGCUAAUCUGCGAAAAGCGUCGGUAAGGUGAUAUGAACCGUUAUAACCGGCGAUGUCCGAAUGGGGAAACCCAGUGCAAUUCGUUGCACUAUCGUUAACUGAAUACAUAGGUUAACGAGGCGAACCGGGGGAACUGAAACAUCUAAGUACCCCGAGGAAAAGAAAUCAACCGAGAUUCCCCCAGUAGCGGCGAGCGAACGGGGAGCAGCCCAGAGUCUGAAUCAGCUUGUGUGUUAGUGGAACGGUCUGGAAAGUCCGACGGUACAGGGUGAUAGUCCCGUACACCAAAAUGCACAGGUUGUGAACUCGAAGAGUAGGGCGGGACACGUGGUAUCCUGUCUGAAUAUGGGGGGACCAUCCUCCAAGGCUAAAUACUCCUGACUGACCGAUAGUGAACCAGUACCGUGAGGGAAAGGCGAAAAGAACCCCGGCGAGGGGAGUGAAAAAGAACCUGAAACCGUGUACGUACAAGCAGUGGGAGCACCUUCGGGUGUGACUGCGUACCUUUUGUAUAAUGGGUCAGCGACUUAUAUUCUGUAGCAAGGUUAACCGUAUAGGGGAGCCGCAGGGAAACCGAGUCUUAACUGGGCGUUAAGUUGCAGGGUAUAGACCCGAAACCCGGUGAUCUAGCCAUGGGCAGGUUGAAGGUUGGGUAACACUAACUGGAGGACCGAACCGACUAAUGUUGAAAAAUUAGCGGAUGACUUGUGGCUGGGGGUGAAAGGCCAAUCAAACCGGGAGAUAGCUGGUUCUCCCCGAAAGCUAUUUAGGUAGCGCCUCGUGAAUUCAUCUUCGGGGGUAGAGCACUGUUUCGGCUAGGGGGUCAUCCCGACUUACCAACCCGAUGCAAACUACGAAUACCGAAGAAUGUUAUCACGGGAGACACACGGCGGGUGCUAACGUCCGUCGUGAAGAGGGAAACAACCCAGACCGCCAGCUAAGGUCCCAAAGUCAUGGUUAAGUGGGAAACGAUGUGGGAAGGCACAGACAGCCAGGAUGUUGGCUUAGAAGCAGCCAUCAUUUAAAGAAAGCGUAAUAGCUCACUGGUCGAGUCGGCCUGCGCGGAAGAUGUAACGGGGCUAAACCAUGCACCGAAGCUGCGGCAGCGACGCUUAUGCGUUGUUGGGUAGGGGAGCGUUCUGUAAGCCUGCGAAGGUGACCUGUGAGGGUUGCUGGAGGUAUCAGAAGUGCGAAUGCUGACAUAAGUAACGAUAAAGCGGGUGAAAAGCCCGCUCGCCGGAAGACCAAGGGUUCCUGUCCAACGUUAAUCGGGGCAGGGUGAGUCGACCCCUAAGGCGAGGCCGAAAGGCGUAGUCGAUGGGAAACAGGUUAAUAUUCCUGUACUUGGUGUUACUGCGAAGGGGGGACGGAGAAGGCUAUGUUAGCCGGGCGACGGUUGUCCCGGUUUAAGCAUGUAGGCUGGUUGUCCAGGCAAAUCCGGAUAAUCAAGGCUGAGGUGUGAUGACGAGGCACUACGGUGCUGAAGUAACAAAUGCCCUGCUUCCAGGAAAAGCCUCUAAGCAUCAGGUAACAUUAAAUCGUACCCCAAACCGACACAGGUGGUCAGGUAGAGAAUACCAAGGCGCUUGAGAGAACUCGGGUGAAGGAACUAGGCAAAAUGGUGCCGUAACUUCGGGAGAAGGCACGCUGGUGUGUAGGUGAAGUCCCUGCGGAUGGAGCUGAGACCAGUCGAAGAUACCAGCUGGCUGCAACUGUUUAUUAAAAACACAGCACUGUGCAAACACGAAAGUGGACGUAUACGGUGUGACGCCUGCCCGGUGCCGGAAGGUUAAUUGAUGGGGUUAUCCGUAAGGAGAAGCUCUUGAUCGAAGCCCCGGUAAACGGCGGCCGUAACUAUAACGGUCCUAAGGUAGCGAAAUUCCUUGUCGGGUAAGUUCCGACCUGCACGAAUGGCGUAAUGAUGGCCAGGCUGUCUCCACCCGAGACUCAGUGAAAUUGAACUCGCUGUGAAGAUGCAGUGUACCCGCGGCAAGACGGAAAGACCCCGUGAACCUUUACUAUAGCUUGACACUGAACAUUGAGCCUUGAUGUGUAGGAUAGGUGGGAGGCUUUGAAGCGUGGACGCCAGUCUGCGUGGAGCCAACCUUGAAAUACCACCCUUUAAUGUUUGAUGUUCUAACGUUGGCCCCUUACCGGGGUUGCGGACAGUGUCUGGUGGGUAGUUUGACUGGGGCGGUCUCCUCCCAAAGCGUAACGGAGGAGCACGAAGGUUAGCUAAUCCUGGUCGGACAUCAGGAGGUUAGUGCAAUGGCAUAAGCUAGCUUGACUGCGAGCGUGACGGCGCGAGCAGGUGCGAAAGCAGGUCAUAGUGAUCCGGUGGUUCUGAAUGGAAGGGCCAUCGCUCAACGGAUAAAAGGUACUCCGGGGAUAACAGGCUGAUACCGCCCAAGAGUUCAUAUCGACGGCGGUGUUUGGCACCUCGAUGUCGGCUCAUCACAUCCUGGGGCUGAAGUAGGUCCCAAGGGUAUGGCUGUUCGCCAUUUAAAGUGGUACGCGAGCUGGGUUUAGAACGUCGUGAGACAGUUCGGUCCCUAUCUGCCGUGGGCGCUGGAGAAUUGAGGGGGGCUGCUCCUAGUACGAGAGGACCGGAGUGGACGCAUCACUGGUGUUCGGGUUGUCAUGCCAAUGGCACUGCCCGGUAGCUAAAUGCGGAAGAGAUAAGUGCUGAAAGCAUCUAAGCACGAAACUUGCCCCGAGAUGAGUUCUCCCUGAGACUUUAAGUCUCCUGAAGGAACGUUAAAGACGAUGACGUUGAUAGGCCGGGUGUGUAAGCGCAGCGAUGCGUUGAGCUAACCGGUACUAAUGAACCGUGAGGCUUAACCUUACAACGCCGAAG